rnacentral:rRNA from 1 species
AAACCAAAUGGGAUUCCUUAAGUAAUGGCGAAUGAACAAGGAACUGCUCAACUUGAAAAUCGGGGCUUCUGGCCUUGAAUUGUAAUUUUGAAAUGUAUUGCCAAUGGAGGCGCAGGUGCAAGCCAAUUGAAAGAAAGCGUCAAAGAAGGUGAAAAUCCUUUUUGUCAUUUGCAGCCCUCCGUGCACGGUAUAUAUUUGACGAGUCACACUCCUCGGCAUUGGAAUGCAAAGUGGGUGGUAAAUUUCAUGUAAAGAUUAAUAUAUUAUUGAGACUGAUAGCGAACAAGUACCAUGAGGGAAAUAUGAAAAGGACUUUGAAAAGAGAAUUAAAAGAGUCUGCACUUGCUGAACAGAAAGCAAACAGAAGUGAUUAUGCUUGGUAAGAUUGUUGCGUCUUGUUGUUCUGCAACUUGGGCGCAGUGGUUCUUACCUUGUCUGCCAGCAUCUUUUCUGCAAAUCAGAACCCUGGCACAUGACUGGUAAUUCGCCUGCGGGUGUUGGAAUGCAUGUGUUUGCUAUGAUUUGUGAUUAGAUUUGUGCGUGUGGUGCUUCGGUGUGUGGCUCUUUGUUGGGGAGGAAUUCUCCUCCGCCCUGCUGAAUCCCUUGCGCUACAUCG